rnacentral:rRNA from 1 species
UACGGAGGAUGCGAGCGUUAUCCGGAUUUAUUGGGUUUAAAGGGAGCGUAGACGGGUCGUUAAGUCAGCUGUGAAAGUUCGGGGCUCAACCUUGAAAUUGCAGUUGAUACUGGCGUCCUUGAGUACGGUUGAGGCAGGCGGAAUUCGUGGUGUAGCGGUGAAAUGCUUAGAUAUCACGAAGAACCCCGAUUGCGAAGGCAGCCUGCUAAGCCGCCACUGACGUUGAGGCUCGAAAGUGUGGGUAUCAAACAGG